AUUGAACGCUGGCGGCAGGCCUAACACAUGCAAGUCGAGCGGAUGAAGGGAGCUUGCUCCUGGAUUCAGCGGCGGACGGGUGAGUAAUGCCUAGGAAUCUGCCUGGUAGUGGGGGAUAACGUCCGGAAACGGGCGCUAAUACCGCAUACGUCCUGAGGGAGAAAGUGGGGGAUCUUCGGACCUCACGCUAUCAGAUGAGCCUAGGUCGGAUUAGCUAGUUGGUGGGGUAAAGGCCUACCAAGGCGACGAUCCGUAACUGGUCUGAGAGGAUGAUCAGUCACACUGGAACUGAGACACGGUCCAGACUCCCACGGGAGGCAGCAGUGGGGAAUAUUGGACAAUGGGCGAAAGCCUGAUCCAGCCAUGCCGCGUGUGUGAAGGAGGUCUUCGGAUUGUAAAGCACUUUAAGUUGGGAGGAAGGGCAGUAAGUUAAUACCUUGCUGUUUUGACGUUACCAACAGAAUAAGCACCGGCUAACUUCGUG
rnacentral:rRNA from 1 species